rnacentral:lncRNA from 1 species
GCUCUCCUCUCCUGCUAAGCUUUGUUCCCUGGCAGUAAUUAAAACCUUCUGCCACUGCCAUAGCUACUGCUGCUGCUGGGACCGCCAUAGCCGCCUUGGUUUCGUGGUUUGGCAAAGUAUUGGCCUCCACCACCAUAGGGGCCAGAGCUUCUGCCUCCAAAAUUUCCUCCUUUCAUGGGUCCAAAAUGUGAAGAUUGAUUGUUGUAAUUGCCAAAAUCAUUAUGGCUUCCACCACCUCCAAAGUUGCUUCCAUUGUUACCAAAUCCGUUAUAGCCAUCCCCACUCCCACCACCACCUCGACUGCCGCCAAAGCCACUCGCCCACUGAAGUUUCCUCCACGGCCAAAGUUGUCAUUCCCACCAAAACCACCUCCACGACCACCACCGAAGUUCCCAGGACCACUUCGACCUCUUUGGCUGGAGGAAGCACUAGCCAUCUCUUGCUUAGAUAAAGCUUUCCUUACUUCACAGUUGUGGCCGUUCACAGCACGGCAUUUUUGAAUGACAAUCUUGUCUACAGAGUCAGGGUCGUCAAAGGUCACAAAAGCAAAGCCUCUCUUUUUGCCACUGCCUCGGUCAGUCAUGAUUUCAAUCACUUCAAUUUUCCCAUACUGUUCAAAAGAAUCUCUUAGAUGAUGUUUUUCAGUGUCUUCUUUAAUGCCACCGACAAAAAUCUUUUUCACAGUUAAGUGGGCACCAGGUCUUUGAAAAUCUUCUCUAGAGACAGUCCUCUUUGGUUCUACAACUCUUCCAUCCACCUUGUGUGGCCUUGCAUUCAUGGCUGCAUCCACCUCUUCCACAGUGGCAUAGGUGACAAACCCAAAGCCUCUGGAACGCUUGGUAUUUGGAUCUCUCAUUACCACACAGUCCAUAAGCGUUCCCCAUUGCUCAAAAUGGCUCCUCAGACUCUCAUCGGUUGUUUCAAAGCUCAAACCUCCAAUGAAAAGCUUCUGCAGCUGUUAGGGCUCUUUGGGAGACUCUGACUUAGACAUGACGGCGGGGGGAGGGGAGACUUUCACGAUGCUUACUUGGCGGCGUCCACGGGCAGAAAG